GGGGUCCGCCCAGCGCCCGCUUAUCGCGGCCGCCCAGGCGUCGCGCCCCCGCCCCGCCUCCUUGGGCCCCGGGGUCCCGAGUCCCCAUCGCCGCGGGCUUCGGGGUGCUGGGCAGCUUGGCGGCAGAGAUAAUAAACAGCCGCCGGGAGAACAGUGCGUUCGCGUGCGCACGACUCGGAUCAACUGUCCGCGGCCGCAGAGACGGCUGACUGUGUAUAUUUGCGAGCGGAGAAUCUCGUGGAGUUCUCUUUCCGAGAUGCUUGUCCACCACAAUCAGCCAGAUGGAUUUGCGGGACGUGUAGAGAAGACCUCACAGAGCCACGUUGUGAAUGCAGCCACGAGUGGCACGGUCCCCUCCCCCAUGCACACGGAAGAUGAGACGUGGUGGGGAAGGAAAGUCAUCAGCACUGCCACUGAGGCAGCCGCCGACCGCACGCGGGGCCGGGAACCCUCACACCGGAAAGACAGGCUCCUCGGUGCGGUGCGUUCCCACACGGCCCUUCUUCUGUCCUGCUUCCCAGAAGAUCUGGGCUGUUGGGGCUGCAACAAUUCUUGCGGGAACUGGGUCUGGGCACAGCAUCACGUGGCAUGAGGGAGUCCAAUUGGACCCACUGGGUGCUGUUUUACAGGCGGGUGCCACCCCCUGCGAGCUGCAGAAAACCUGUCAUCAGGUGGAAAUACCCCCGGGGCCACCUGAUGGCACAUUCCUUCUGAGGUCCGACCUGAAUCAUUUCUAUCCACACAGAAGCGGAGUUCAUGGUUACCAGGAGGGACCAGCGAUGUCCGUCUGUCUCGAUAACGACUUUUUUCAUUUUUAUCUGAAACACAUGUAUGUAUAUUUGUACCACUUACUUCGUGUUUUCUCACUUCUAACUAUCAGAUGGGGGAACUUUUAAUAAAUGGCUCCAAGUA